rnacentral:rRNA from 1 species
UUCCUACGGGGGGCAGCAGUGGGGAAUAUUGCACAAUGGGGGGAACCCUGAUGCAGCGACGCCGCGUGGGCGAGGAAGUAUUUCGGUAUGUAAAGCCCUAUCGGCAGGGGAGAAGAAAUGACGGUACCUGAAUAAGAAGCACCGGCUAAAUAAGUGCCAGCAGCCGCGGUAAUACGGAUGGUGGAAGCGUUAUCCGGAUUUACUGGGCGUAAAGGGAGCGCAGGCGGGGCGCCAAGUCUGGUGGGAAACCCCGGGGCUCAAC